rnacentral:lncRNA from 1 species
UCAUAGUGGGGAUACACAUGAGAACCUUACAACUUUCCACUUUUCCUAUUUCAACACUUGUGGGAUUAAAGAAACUUUUCUUCCUUUUCUUAUUCGUCUAUAGUUUUCCCACUCGCUGACAUAUUUUCUAUGUAGGUCUUCGUUUCAGGUUUAUUCUCAUUGCCUCUUUAUCACGUGAAUCCUCAUCUUUGACUCUUUCUA